rnacentral:rRNA from 1 species
CAAUAGCGUAUAUUUAAGUUGUUGCAGUUAAAAAGCUCGUAGUUGGAUUUCGGGUGGGACGCAGCGGUCUCGCAUUGCGUUUGUACUGCUGCAGCCCUCCUUCUUGCCGGGGGCGGCCUCACGGACUUCACUGUCUGGGGGUCAGAAUCGGCGAUGUUACUUUGAGUAAAUUAGAGUGUUCAAAGCAAGCUUACGCUCUGAAUAUAAUAGCAUGGGAUAACACGACAGGACUCUGGCCUAUCGUGUUGGUCUAUAGGACCAGAGUAAUGAUUAAGAGGGACAGUCGGGGGCAUUCGUAUUCCGUUGUCAGAGGUGAAAUUCUUGGAUUUACGGAAGACGAACAUCUGCGAAAGCAUUUGCCAAGGAUGUUUUCAUUGA